UUUCCGUAGGUGAACCUGCGGAAGGAUCAUUACUGAGUGAGGGCCCUCUGGGUCCAACCUCCCACCCGUGUUUAUUAUACCUUGUUGCUUCGGUGAGCCCGCCUCACGGCCGCCGGGGGGCAUCUGCCCCCGGGCCCGCGCCCACCGAAGACACCUAGAACUCUGUAUGAAGAUUGCAGUCUGAGCAAAAACUAAAUAAGUUAAAACUUUCAACAACGGAUCUCUUGGUUCUG
rnacentral:misc_RNA from 1 species